rnacentral:rRNA from 1 species
AUUGAACGCUGGCGGCAUGCUUUACACAUGCAAGUCGAACGGUAACAGGGUGCUUGCACCGCUGACGAGUGGCGAACGGGUGAGUAAUGCGUCGGAACGCACCGAGUAAUGGGGGAUAACGCAGCGAAAGCUGUGCUAAUACCGCAUACGCUCUGAGGAGGAAAGCGGGGGACCUUCGGGCCUCGCGUUAUUCGAGCGGCCGACGUCUGAUUAGCUAGUAGGUGAGGUAAGAGCUCACCUAGGCGACGAUCAGUAGCGGGUCUGAGAGGAUGAUCCGCCACACUGGGACUGAGACACGGCCCAGACGCCUACGGGAGGCAGCAGUGGGGAAUUUUGGACAAUGGGCGCAAGCCUGAGCCAGCCAUGCCGCGUGUCUGAAGAAGGCCUUCGGGUUGUAAAGGACUUUUGUCAGGGAGGAAGUCCUUAGCGCUAAUACCGUUGAGGGAUGACAGUACCUGAAGAAUAAGCACCGGCUAACUACGUGCCAGCCGCCGCGGUAA